AUUGAACGCUGGCGGCAGGCCUAACACAUGCAAGUCGAGCGGAUGAAGGGAGCUUGCUCCUGGAUUCAGCGGCGGACGGGUGAGUAAUGCCUAGGAAUCUGCCUGGUAGUGGGGGAUAACGUCCGGAAACGGGCGCUAAUACCGCAUACGUCCUGAGGGAGAAAGGGGGGGAUCUUCGGACCUCACGCUAUCAGAUGAGCCUAGGUCGGAUUAGCUAGUUGGUGGGGUAAAGGCCUACCAAGGCGACGAUCCGUAACUGGUCUGAGAGGAUGAUCAGUCACACUGGAACUGAGACACGGUCCAGACUCCUACGGGAGGCAGCAGUGGGGAAUAUUGGACAAUGGGCGAAAGCCUGAUCCAGCCAUGCCGCGUGUGUGAAGAAGGUCUUCGGAUUGUAAAGCACUUUAAGUUGGGAGGAAGGGCAGUAAGUUAAUACCUUGCUGUUUUAACGUUACCAACAGAAUAAGCACCGGCUAACUUCGUG
rnacentral:rRNA from 1 species